GGUUGCGUGGCCGAGUGGUCUAAGGCGCAGGAUUAAGGAUCACUAACACUCCUGUCCGAAAGGGCGCAGGUUCGAACCCUGCCGCAGCCA
rnacentral:tRNA from 1 species